CAUUAGGCUGUCGUUAUGAUUGGCACUCCGAGCAGCGGAGAUUUACAUACAUUGGCCUUCGUGAUGCCGUAUGAUGGCACUGUACUCGUUCUGAACAUUUUCAGAAUAAAACGCCGUUUUUUAUUCCUUUGUGUAUUCAUGCAAUUGAAAUUCAUUCGUUUCCUAAGUCAGUCGUUUUUUGCAAAACAAAAUCAGAAUGAUGAUAAUUACCAUAAUUUAUUAAUUAAUUUGAACCACCCUAAGUUUCGGUUUGGUUUUUCGACUAUAUAUUACAUAUGUUGAGGAUAAGAUUUUCUCCAUAUUUAUCUACCAGUAGCCUCGAGGGACUAUUCUGGUUUCACUAUAAGUGGUCGGUGAAUUCACGGGGCUCAUCCUGAGUUCAAGGAAGAAAAUAGUAUCAUUUAUUUAUUACUGUUCAAUGGCGUGAUAUGUUGUUGUUCAAUAAGAUGAUUGGAUUGAAAUGUGGUUUUAUAACUACGAGACACAAAUCGUCGAAGACCUCAUUUAUGCCAUUUGAAUCAUAGCUUUGGAGCAAAAAUUGACUUGACGAUAACAUCUUUCGGUUUGAAAUCGCAAUAUACGCCCCAACGCCGCGACGUUCUAAUCUUUCAUUGUAGUCUUUCGUAAACAUAAGCGAGGUCCGUAUUUACUUUGGUUUUGUUAUAUAGUUUAAUACUUUGUUUUUUCCUUUAAUUUUGUCUUGAUACAACUAUGGUACAAGUACAUUGUAUAAUUACUAUGUGGUAGCAACGUCACGCAUUUGUAUUAAAAUUAUAAAUCUGUUACUUAUAUGUAAUAAUAUAUCUAUUUGUAAUAA